rnacentral:pre_miRNA from 1 species
UUUUUAGUAUAAGUAUGUUUCAUACAAUUUUGGGGAGAUACUUAUGCUAAAA